rnacentral:rRNA from 1 species
GACGAACGCUGGCGGCGUGCUUAACACAUGCAAGUCGAACGGAAAGGCCCUGCUUUUGUGGGGUGCUCGAGUGGCGAACGGGUGAGUAACACGUGAGUAACCUGCCCUUGACUUUGGGAUAACUUCAGGAAACUGGGGCUAAUACCGGAUAGGAGCUCCUGCUGCAUGGUGGGGGUUGGAAAGUUUCGGCGGUUGGGGAUGGACUCGCGGCUUAUCAGCUUGUUGGUGGGGUAGUGGCUUACCAAGGCUUUGACGGGUAGCCGGCCUGAGAGGGUGACCGGCCACAUUGGGACUGAGAUACGGCCCAGACUCCUACGGGAGGCAGCAGUGGGGAAUAUUGCACAAUGGGCGGAAGCCUGAUGCAGCAACGCCGCGUGCGGGAUGACGGCCUUCGGGUUGUAAACCGCUUUCGCCUGUGACGAAGCGUGAGUGACGGUAAUGGGUAAAGAAGCACCGGCUAACUACGUGCCAGCAGCCGCGGUGAUACGUAGGGUGCGAGCGUUGUCCGGAUUUAUUGGGCGUAAAGGGCUCGUAGGUGGUUGAUCGCGUCGGAAGUGUAAUCUUGGGGCUUAACCCUGAGCGUGCUUUCGAUACGGGUUGACUUGAGGAAGGUAGGGGAGAAUGGAAUUCCUGGUGGAGCGGUGGAAUGCGCAGAUAUCAGGAGGAACACCAGUGGCGAAGGCGGUUCUCUGGGCCUUUCCUGACGCUGAGGAGCGAAAGCGUGGGGAGCGAACAGGCUUAGAUACCCUGGUAGUCCACGCUGUAAACGGUGGGUACUAGGUGUGGGGUCCAUUCCACGGGUUCCGUGCCGUAGCUAACGCUUUAAGUACCCCGCCUGGGGAGUACGGCCGCAAGGCUAAAACUCAAAGGAAUUGACGGGGCCCCGCACAAGCGGCGGAGCAUGCGGAUUAAUUCGAUGCAACGCGUAGAACCUUACCUGGGUUUGACAUGGAUCGGGAGUGCUCAGAGAUGGGUGUGCCUCUUUUGGGGUCGGUUCACAGGUGGUGCAUGGCUGUCGUCAGCUCGUGUCGUGAGAUGUUGGGUUAAGUCCCGCAACGAGCGCAACCCUUGUUCACUGUUGCCAGCACGUUAUGGUGGGGACUCAGUGGAGACCGCCGGGGUCAACUCGGAGGAAGGUGGGGAUGACGUCAAGUCAUCAUGCCCCUUAUGUCCAGGGCUUCACGCAUGCUACAAUGGCUGGUACAGAGAGUGGCGAGCCUGUGAGGGUGAGCGAAUCUCGGAAAGCCGGUCUCAGUUCGGAUUGGGGUCUGCAACUCGACCUCAUGAAGUCGGAGUCGCUAGUAAUCGCAGAUCAGCAACGCUGCGGUGAAUACGUUCCCGGGGCUUGUACACACCGCCCGUCAAGUCAUGAAAGUUGGUAACACCCGAAGCCGGUGGCCUAACCGUUGUGGGGGAGCCGUCGAAGGUGGGACUGGUGAUUAGGACUAAGU